rnacentral:rRNA from 1 species
UGGGGAAUUUUGGACAAUGGGCGAAAGCCUGAUCCAGCAAUGCCGCGUGUGUGAAGAAGGCCUUCGGGUUGUAAAGCACUUUUGUCCGGAAAGAAAUCCUUGGCUCUAAUACAGUCGGGGGGUGACGGUACCGGAAGAAUAAGCACCGGCUAACUACGUGCCAGCAGCCGCGGUAAUACGUAGGGUGCAAGCGUUAAUCGGAAUUACUGGGCGUAAAGCGUGCGCAGGCGGUUUGCUAAGACCGAUGUGAAAUCCCCGGGCUCAACCUGGGAACUGCAUUGGUGACUGGCAGGCUAGAGUAUGGCAGAGGGGGGUAGAAUUCCACGUGUAGCAGUGAAAUGCGUAGAGAUGUGGAGGAAUACCGAUGGCGAAGGCAGCCCCCUGGGCCAAAUACUGACGCUCAUGCACGAAAGCGUGGGGAGCAAACAGGAUUAGAUACCCUGGUAGUCCACGCCCUAAAACGAUGUCAACUAGUUGUUGGGGAUUCAUUUCCUUAGUAACGUAGCUAACGCGUGAAGUUGACCGCCUGGGGAGUACGGUCGCAAGAUUAAAACUU